UAGGGAAUAUUGGGCAAUGGGUGAGAGCCUGACCCAGCCAUGCCGCGUGCCGGAAGACGGCCCUCUGGGUUGUAAACGGCUUUUAUAUAGGAACAAAAGGGCCCUGCGGGGCAGAUUGCGUGUACUAUAGGAAUAAGCACCGGCUAACUCCGUGCCAGCAGCCGCGGUAAUACGGAGGGUGCCAGCGUUGUCCGGAUUUAUUGGGUAUAAAGGGUACGUAGGCGGAAGGCUAAGUCCGAGGUGAAAGCCCCCAGCUCAACUGGGGAGGUGCCUUGGAUACUGGUCAUCUUGAGUGCCGUAGAGGUAGGCGGAAUUCAUGGUGUAGCGGUGAAAUGCAUAGAUACCAUGAGGAACACCGAUAGGGAAGCCAGCUUACUAGACGGUUACUGACGCUGAGGUACGAAAGCGUGGGGAGCGAACAGGAUUAGAUACCCCCGUAGUCC
rnacentral:rRNA from 1 species